rnacentral:rRNA from 1 species
AUUGAGCGCUGGCGGCAUGCUUUACACAUGCAAGUCGAGCGGCAGCGCGGGGCAACCUGGCGGCGAGCGGCGAACGGGUGAGUAAUGCAUCGGAACAUGUCCAUGUCGUGGGGGAUAGCCCGGCGAAAGCCGGAUUAAUACCGCAUAAGCCCGAGAGGGGAAAGUGGGGGACCGCAAGGCCUCACGCGAUUGGGUUGGCCGAUGUCCGAUUAGCUAGUUGUCGGGGUAAGAGCCCACCAAGGGGAUGAUCGGUAGCUGGUCUGAGAGGAGGAUCAGCCAGACUGGGACUGAGACACGGCCCAGACUCCUCCGGGAGGCAGCAGUGGGGAAUUUUCGACAAUUGGGGCUACCCUGAUCCAGCCAUUCGCCGGGAGUGAAGAAGGCCUUCGGGUUGUAAAGCUCUGUUGUCCGGAACGAAACGGUUACGGUGAAUACCCGUGACUACUGACGGUACCGGAAGAAUAAGCACCGGCUAACUACGUGCCAGCCGCCGCCGUAA